AUCUCCCAAAUAUUUGCUAAACAUUUAGCUAGUAAGUCAAAUAUCCAAAUGAAAUAUAAGCCAGCUAAUUGUUUAGCUUCCUAACUCAAUAUUUAGUUUGAAACUGACAUUUCUAAAUGAAGGAAUGAAUAAUAAUAAUAACAAUAAUAAUAACAAUAAUAAUAAUAAUAUGAAGAAGAUAAGAGGAGCACUUCCUUCAUUUGGUUAAUUUCAGCUUUUUUGAGGAUAUGCAUCACAUUAAUGGUUGAAAACGUUUUGAUAGAAGCAGCGAUCUUCCAUUCUAAGAGCUUUGUGUGGCAGGAACAUGGAAGAGUUGAAGCCUGUUGUUUCCUGUUGUAAAAUAUUUCUGCACAGAUUUUUAGGGUUUUAAGUUUAAAACAUAUGAAUCGUAAUGUUUUGUUGUUAGAAAAACCCUGCAUGAAUAUUUGUAUGUGUUUCUGCAGGAAGCUGUCAAUGUUUUUUAGAAAAAUCUGUAUAAAAACAUUCAGACUUCUUAUCUGACUCUAAUCAAAUACUGAUUACCCGACAUUUCCUCCUCAUUUUAAAAGAUUAACGCAGGAUUUUUUUAGCUUUUCUGUUAGAGCUUCGGAUGUUUCUCCUUAUUGAUCUGCGUGACACAACAUUCAGGAAAAUCAACACAAGUCCUGCAGAAAGAUAAACCACAUGAGUCUCUGACAGUCGGCCCUCACACCAUGGCUGUCGGAUUGUUUACGAUUAUUUAGCUUCAAACUUUUCCACAUCUUCUCACUUUUCUACCACAAACUUCAAUGUGAAAAACCAACAAUAAGUAGAGACUAAAUGUCAAAUGGAAGUAAAAUGAUUUGUGCUUCCUUUUUUCUCUGAUCAGUCAGAUGUUGAUGUUACAUAUAGAUGUAAUAAACAGGAAGUAAAGGCUGUAAAUUAACAUGGACCAGAGACGUUUUCCGUUCCUCUGGUAAGGCAGAUGAACCAGAUCAACCCUAUACUGUACUGAUGGAAGCAGAAACGGCUUUUAAGAUGUUAAAGUGCGUUUUAGCUGCAGAUGCAUCUUUGCUACAAAUGAUCAAACAUUCAUCAAAAGGCUGCUGCUUUGGGAAUAAAAUGUUUGAUUUCUUAUUUAAAAAGGAACUGAAAUAUUUGUGUGUAUUUUUUAUGUAAACAAAAAUUGCAUAAUGUGCCAGUUUUUAAAUCUAAUUAAUACAUUAAUCGCCAGAAUAAUAGAUUCUUCUUCAGAAUAAUGGAUUAGUCGUUAGAAGAGCUGCAGCCGGAAGAGGUUGUAACGUGAUAAAUUGUUGAAGGGGUGUGAAUAUUUUCUGUAUUCUGCUCUGAGCAGACUCAGUCAGCUUCUCUCAUCGGUUCAAAGUCCUGCCUUGAGAAUUCAACCCUUGACCGAACAGAUAACACGAGUUCAGAUUAAUCAGCGCAAUGACUCAGAGAUGGACCACUCGGCUGUGUUCACAGCUCUGGAUAAGGUCUGUGAGGAGAACAUCUGUGUCCUCAGUGGCCCCUCCGAGUCGCCGUACGGCACCGUGACCAAGCGCCUGGUGGCGUGUAUGAGGAAGAUUCGCCAACAUGGCCGCGCCCUGGAGCCGGUGGUUGCCAGCUUCACCGCCGUCUACCAUCACUACGACUUCGACGCCCAGACGCCUGGAAACGGAUACCGAACGCUGGUCAAGGUGCUGCAGUCCUGCCUGGUGCACAUCAUCCAUAAAGGCCGCUACAUCGCCUCCAACUGCAGAGGAGCCUUCUUCAGGGCGGAGCACAACGCCGCAGAGAUGGAGGCGUACUGCAGCGCCCUCUGCCAGCUGCGGGCGCUGCUCCACCUCGCCCAGCGGCUCCUCCACGACAACGCCCACGGGGAGCUGUACUCGUCGCAGGACGCCGACCUGAGCGAUCGCUUCGUUCAGGAGUACAGCUCCAUGCACAAGGCCUGCUUCUACGGGCGCUGCCUGGGCUUCCAGUUCUCUCCUGCUCUGCGACCGUUCCUCCAGACCAUCGUCAUCAGCAUGGUUUCCUACGGAGAGACGUACGGCAGACAGCAGUCUGGCAUAGGAACGGCCGCUCUGUCCCUCCUCACCUCAGGGAAGUACGUCAUCGACCCGGAGCUGCGAGGCGCCGAGUUCGAACGCAUCACCCAGAAUCUGGACUUGCACUUCUGGAAGUCCUUCUGGAACGUCACAGAGUCCGACAUUUUAUCAGGUUUCACCCGGAUCGCCUCCAACCCGGUGCAGGUCAACCUCACGCUGACCGUGCCUCCAGAAAGCCUGCAGCUCCCUCUGGCCUCCGACCCCACGCUGUCCACCAGCGUGUCGCCCCCCGUCGCCCACUGGGGCCCGGGGCCGGUCCACAUGAGGCUGAUCUCCUACGACCUGCGGGAAGGCCAGGACAGCGAGGAGCUGCUGGGGUUUUCCCAGGGCGACGCGGCGCCCAUCGCCUCGCCCCGUCUGCCCUGGGUGCAGAAGAAGCCGCCGUCGCCAUGGCUCCUCAUCCACUUCCACGGCGGCGGCUUCGUCGCCCAGACGUCCCGUUCCCACGAGAAUUACCUGCGUAACUGGUCGAAGGAGCUGAGCGUCCCGGUUCUGUCCGUCGACUACUCUCUGUCGCCUGAAGCUCCGUUUCCUCGGGCGCUGGAGGAAUGCUUCUACGCCUACUGCUGGGCGCUGAAACACUGCCACCUGCUGGGUUCUACGGCGGAGCGGGUCUGCCUGGCCGGGGACAGCGCCGGGGGAAACCUCUGCAUCACCGUCUGCAUGAGGGCGCUCACCGCCGGCAUCCGCCUCCCCGACGGCAUCAUGGCCGCCUACCCCGCCACCCUGCUCACCACCGACGCCUCGCCCUCCCGCCUGCUCACGCUCAUCGACCCCCUGCUGCCUCUGGGCGUCCUCGCCAGGUGCAUCAACGCCUACGCAGGUUCGGACUUCCAGACGGUGCAGCCUGCAGAGCGGCGCGGCAGUCUGAGCGCUCUGGGCCGGGACACGGCCCUGCUGCUCAGCGACCUCACCCAGGGAGCCUCCAACUGGAUCCAGUCCCUUCUGGACCCGGCCCGGACCAAGCCGCCCCCGCCGCACCGAGGCGCCGACCCCCACAGGGCGCCGGGCCCCGCCGCCACGGCCGGCGCCGCCGACAUCCUUCACUACCCGGACGGCUUCGAGCCGCUGCGGUCCGAAUGCCACGCCUACGUCCUGCCCACGUCCUGCGCCGUCAUCAGGAACCCGUUUGUGUCUCCUCUGCUGGCGCCAACCGGCCUGCUGAAGGGCCUGCCGCCGGUCCACCUGGUGGCGUCGGCGCUGGACGCCUUGCUGGACGAUUCGGUGAUGUUUGCGAAGAAGCUGCGGGCGAUGGGCCAGGCCGUGACCUUGACGGUGGUGGACGACCUUCCUCACGGCUUCCUCAGCCUGGCGCAGAUCUGCAAGGAGACACAGUUCGCCUCUGACAUCUGUGUGUCGCGGAUCCGGACGGUCUUCCAACCGCCGCCGCAGACUUAGCGCCGCGUCGUCGGGUCGGUUCUGCCACCACAGGAAGUAAAACUGCACUUUAAACCUGAACUGCACAGCAAAACUGGAUCCGACUGACGGGUUCCAGGUUCUGAUUAGAGGAACAUUCAGAACCGCAGGAGGAAAUCUGUCCCUCAGGUUCUGAUUCUGACCGACUGUGCCUUUAACAGAACCUCCUGCUCCUCCUCCAGCAUCCAGCAGGAAUCAGGAAGUUCCUUCCACAUGAACUGUGUUGUUAUUAAUAUUGUUUUGUUUGGACCCUAUGUGUAAUUUGAUGUUUACAGCAGUUUGUGAAGAGAACAAACUCCAGAGUGCAAUAAACCUGAACUACCAGAA